UUUGCAUUGUAGUGUUCUCUAGAUGGCUCCGUGCAUGACACAAAACAAGAAUAAAUAUUAAAGUGCCAGUGUUAAAGAUUUUAAGUGAAUCUUGAAAAUCUGCUAGCCUUUAAGAGCAAACUUCUCUUCACCAAAGGAUGACUUAAAAUAAGAAAGGUAAUAAUGGUACGUCCCAGCUGUGUUUCAUUCUGGCUGUUUUCACAAACUUCCCUCUUCUCUUGGUGCUUCCUUUACCAAGUAUUUCAGAGAAAGCCGGUAUCUGUUCUGAACUAACACCUCACCCUGCAAAGACUUAAAGACUUCCCACUGGGUUCCAGCCGGCACACCCAACCUCUUCAGGACCUGGAGGUCAUCAUAUGAAGACAAAGGCAGAGAUCAGGAUGAUUCUUCCACAAGACAAGAGCUCCAGUGAUUGCCAGCACACCCCCAGAAGCCAGGGGAGAGACCUGGACCACAUUCUCCCUGAACGCCCUCAGAAGGAACCAACCCAACGACACGUUGAUUCCAGACUGCAGCAUUCCAGAACUGUGAGACAAUACAUUUCUGUUGUUUAAGCCACUUUCUCAGCGGUACUUUAUUACAGCAGCCCUGGGGAAGUAAUCAAGUGCCUUUUGAUGAUUGCUUUAGUUGAACUGUCCACUCAGCUCUUAACUCUGCCCUCUUUGUCUCUCAGAUCUGCUUCUCUUCUAUGCUCAGUGGGUGAAUGCGGACCCUUCCAUAGUACAGACCAGGCCC
rnacentral:lncRNA from 1 species